GGGACCAAACCAAAUAGGCUUGCAAUGCGCAUGCCCAAGCAAAACCGAUUGUAAGCCAUCUUGAAUUGUUAGCGUGAAAAGAAAUAUACUACAUUUAUUGGAUAUUUUAAUAUGAUGAAUAUUCUAGGUAGAGAAUAUGGAUAGUAUUAUCAUUAUUAGUAUUACGUCAACAUUAACUCAACAAUUGUAUUGUUGACAUGAAGAAAAAGCUAUUUCGAGGUUGUUUUGACCAUUGAUUGCUAAUAACACCUGGCGCCGUGACCUGGAUGCAGAUUCUAAGCAGAUGGGCAAAAAUGGGGGCAGCUAGAGAGACUCGCCUGGAACUGACAAGCCUGGAGGGAGCUGGUUGACUGUUGGCGAGAUGGGACAACAGACGAAGAAUAAACGAACCUACUUGAUUUGAUAAACAUUUUUAUGUUUUUCAGUUUCGUCGGAAGACAUUUCCCACCAACCAUCCUGUCUUGAAAGAAAUAACUUUUGAACCCGAUUAUCUGAUAUUUUCCAGUUUCCCCUCACAACAAUUUGCAUCAAACCUCUUGUCUGGGACAUUUGACAGAUUUCCGGGACAGCGGGACAAGUUCUUCAUUUCCGGGACUGUCCCGGAAAAUCCGGGACGUAUGGCAUCUCCUCAGCUGAAAUCAUCAUCUAGCAGUCACAAUAGUUGAGCGGUUGGAGAGGCAUGCAUUGCGUCCUACUACUGCUCAGACUAUAUUAUGUUUGGCAGACAAAACAUGCUGAUCAAAAAGAAUGUGUACCACAGGGGCCAGUGUUUCCAUUUGAGUGAUUGACAAGAAGAAGAAGAGAUGAUAAAUGUUAUCAUCAUAUUU